rnacentral:sRNA from 1 species
CUUUUACUGUGCCAUGGCAGGCAGUCUCGGCUUGGGCCCUCAUGGCCACACAGACCUUCUACUCCACAGGCCACCAGCCUGUCUUUCCAGCCAUCCAUUGGCAUGCAGCCUUCGUGGGAUUCCCAGAGGGUCAUGGCUCCCGUACUUGGCUGCCUGCUUUGCUAGUGGGAGCCAACACCUUUGCCUCCCACCUCCUCUUUGCAGAUUCUGGCCUGUGCCUUGGCAGCCUCCAUCCUUCGCAGGCAUCUCAUGGUCUGGAAAGUGUUUGCCCCUAAGUUCAUUUUUGAGGCGGUGGGCUUCAUUGUGAGCAGCGUGGGACUUCUCCUGGGCAUAGCUUUGGUGAUGAGAGUGGAUGGUGCUGUGAGCUCCUGGUUCAGGCAGCUAUUUCUGGCCCAGCAGAGGUAGCCUAGGCUGUGAUUACUGGCACUUGGCUACAGAGAGUGCUGGAGAACAGUGUAGCCUGGCCGUACAGGUACUGGAUGAUCUGCAAGACAGGCUCAGCCCUACCUCUUACUACCAUGCAGCCAGGGGCCGCUGGCUUCCAGGACUUCAUCAUUCUAUAAUUCAGGACCACAGUGCAGUAGGAUCCCUAACUCCUGAGUUGGAUGCAUCUGAGGGACAAGGAGGGUGGUCUCCGAAGUGGAAUAAAAUAGGCCGGGCGUGGUGGCUUGCACCUAUAAUCCCAGCACUUUGGGAGGCAGAGGCGGGAGGAUUGCUUGGUCCCGGGAGUUCAAGACCAGCCUGUGGAACGUAACAAGACCC